GAUGAACGCUGGCGGCGUGCCUAAUACAUGCAAGUCGAGCGAACAGACGAGGAGCUUGCUCCUCUGACGUUAGCGGCGGACGGGUGAGUAACACGUGGAUAACCUACCUAUAAGACUGGGAUAACUUCGGGAAACCGUAGCUAAUACCGGAUAAUAUAUUGAACCGCAUGGUUCAAUAGUGAAAGACGGUUUUGCUGUCACUUAUAGAUGGAUCCGCGCCGCAUUAGCUAGUUGGUAAGGUAACGGCUUACCAAGGCAACGAUGCGUAGCCGACCUGAGAGGGUGGUCGGCCACACUGGAACUGAGACACGGUCCAGACUCCUACGGGAGGCAGCAGUAGGGAAUCUUCCGCAAUGGGCGAAAGCCUGACGGAGCAACGCCGCGUGAGUGAUGAAGGUCUUCGGAUCGUAAAACUCUGUUAUUAGGGAAGAACAAAUGUGUGAGUAACUAUGCACGUCUUGACGGUACCUAAUCAGAAAGCCACGGCUAACUACGUG
rnacentral:rRNA from 1 species